rnacentral:rRNA from 1 species
UACAGAGGUCCCAAGCGUUGUUCGGAUUCAUUGGGCGUAAAGGGUGCGUAGGUGGCGCCGUAAGUCAGGUGUGAAAUUUCGGAGCUUAACUCCGAAACUGCAUUUGAUACUGCGGUGCUUGAGGACUGGAGAGGAGACUGGAAUUUACGGUGUAGCAGUGAAAUGCGUAGAGAUCGUAAGGAAGACCAGUGGCGAAGGCGGGUCUCUGGACAGUUCCUGACACUGAGGCACGAAGGCCAGGGGAGCAAACGGG